AGCGAACGUUAGUGGCGCGCCUAACACAUGCAAGUCGCACGAGGUAGCAAUACCUAGUGGCGCACGGGUGCGUAACACGUAGAUAAUCUGCCCUUCGAAGGGGGAUAACGUUCCGAAAGGAGCGCUAAUACCGCAUAAGGCUGCGCCCAGUUCGCUGGAUGCAGACAAAGGCUGGGACCGCAAGGCCAGUCGUCGGAGGAGGAGUCUGCGGCCCAUCAGCUAGUUGGCGAGGUAAUGGCUCACCAAGGCAAAGACGGGUAGCUGGUCUGAGAGGAUGAUCAGCCACACUUGUACUGGAACACGGACCAGACUCCUACGGGAGGCAGCAGUGGGGAAUCUUGGUCAAUGGGCGCAAGCCUGAACCAGCGACGCCGCGUGAGUGAUGAAGGCCUUCGGGUUGUAAAGCUCUGUGGGGAGGGACGAAAGACUGAGGUCUAAUAGGCUUCAGGUUGACGGUACCUCCUUAGCAAGCACCGGCUAACUCUGUGCCAGCAGCCGCAGUAACAC
rnacentral:rRNA from 1 species